GUGUCAGCAGCCGCGGUAAUACGAGGGGGGCAAGCGUUGUUCGGAUUUAUUGGGCGUAAAGGGUGCGUAGGCGGUUUGGCAAGUCUUAUGUGAAAUCUUCGGGCUCAACCCGAAGCCUGCAUAAGAAACUGCCGGGCUUGAGUAUGGGAGAGGUGAGUGGAAUUUCCGGUGUAGCGGUGAAAUGCGUAGAUAUCGGAAGGAACACCUGUGGCGAAAGCGGCUCACUGGACCAUAACUGACGCUGAUGCACGAAAGCUAGGGGAGCAAACAGGAUUAGAUACCCUGGUAGUCC
rnacentral:rRNA from 1 species